rnacentral:rRNA from 1 species
GAUGAACGCUGGCGGCGUGCCUAAUACAUGCAAGUCGAACGAGGUCUUCGGACCUAGUGGCGAACGGGUGAGUAACUCGUUGGUACCUACCCCGAAGUGGGGAAUAACUGCCCGAAAGGGUGGCUAAUACCGCAUAAUACCGCAAGGUUAAAGCAGUAAUGCGCUUCGGGAGGGGCCUGCGUCCCAUUAGCUAGGUGGUAGGGUAAUGGCCUACCAAGGCGACGAUGGGUAGCUGGAUCGAGAGGUUGACCAGCCACACUGGGACUGAGAUACGGCCCAGACUCCUACGGGAGGCAGCUGUAAGGAAUCUUCCACAAUGGACGAAAGUCUGAUGGAGCAACGCCGCGUGCAGGAUGACGGCCUUCGGGUUGUAAACUGCUUUUAUACGGGAAGAUUAUGACGGUACCGUAUGAAUAAGGACCGGCUAACUACGUGCCAGCCGCCGCCGUAA